UUGCGUCAGGGAAAUUUGGUGAGCGACCUCCACCUAAGCGGCUCACCAGGGAAGCUAUGAGGAACUAUUUAAAGGAGCGUGGUGAUCAAACAGUCCUAAUACUUCAUGCAAAAGUUGCUCAGAAAUCCUAUGGAAACGAAAAGAGAUUUUUUUGCCCCCCUCCAUGUGUCUAUCUUAUGGGUAGUGGAUGGAAGAAAAAAAAAGAACAAAUGGAGCGAGAUGGCUGUUCUGAACAAGAAUCACAACCAUGCGCCUUUAUUGGGAUCGGAAAUAGUGACCAAGAAAUGCAGCAGUUAAACUUGGAAGGAAAGAACUAUUGCACAGCUAAAACUUUGUACAUAUCCGACUCUGACAAACGAAAGCACUUCAUGUUAUCCGUGAAAAUGUUCUAUGGCAACAGCGACGAUAUUGGUGUGUUCCUUAGUAAACGGAUCAAAGUAAUCUCUAAGCCUUCUAAAAAGAAACAGUCGCUCAAAAAUGCAGACCUAUGUAUCGCAUCAGGGACAAAAGUGGCGCUGUUUAAUAGACUUCGGUCCCAAACAGUUAGCACCAGGUAUUUGCACGUAGAAGGAGGGAACUUUCACGCCAGCUCACAACAAUGGGGAGCAUUUUACAUUCAUCUCUUGGACGAUGAUGAAUCGGAAGGAGAGGAAUUCACCGUUCGAGAUGGCUAUAUCCAUUAUGGCCAGACUGUCAAACUUGUUUGUUCGGUUACUGGCAUGGCACUCCCAAGAUUGAUAAUACGGAAAGUGGACAAACAAACCGCUUUGCUAGAUGCAGAUGAUCCAGUAUCCCAGCUCCAUAAGUGUGCGUUCUACCUUAAAGAUACUGAACGAAUGUACUUGUGCCUUUCCCAAGAGCGAAUUAUCCAAUUUCAAGCCACUCCAUGCCCCAAAGAACCAAAUAAAGAGAUGAUUAAUGAUGGAGCUUCAUGGACAAUCAUUAGCACAGAUAAAGCAGAAUACACAUUUUAUGAGGGGAUGGGACCGGUCCAUGCUCCUGUAACACCUGUGCCUGUUGUAGAAAGUCUUCAGCUGAAUGGUGGUGGAGAUGUAGCGAUGCUGGAACUAACUGGGCAGAACUUCACUCCAAAUUUGCGUGUCUGGUUUGGGGAUGUGGAAGCUGAAACGAUGUACAGGUGUGCCGAGAGCAUGCUGUGUGUCGUCCCCGAUAUUUCUGCAUUCCGGGAAGGGUGGCGGUGGGUCCGCCAGCCCGUCCAGGUUCCGGUCACGUUAGUCCGCAACGAUGGCAUAAUUUACUCCACCAGCCUUACCUUUACAUACACCCCAGAGCCAGGCCCCCGGCCGCAUUGCAGCGCAGCAGGAGCCAUCCUCCGAGCCAAUUCAAGUCUCCUGGCAUCCAGCGAAUCAAAUACAAACAAUGAGGGAAGUUACACAAAUGUCAGCACAAACCCCACCAGCGUCACGUCAUCAACAGCCACAGUAGUUUCCUAACCACUGCUCUUUGUAUGGAACUUCUUAAAAACUUUCAAGUGCUUCAAACGACAAAACUGAACAACUUUUGUGGUUUCGUGGGAGGGAAGAAAAAACCCUCUUUGCCGCCCUUUGAACUUUUAUCACCUACAAGUGCUGAUCUCAUUAGAACCACAAUAAAAAAACGAAUGCGUUGGGGGCCAGCACCCCUUUAUUGAAAAUCUAUUUUUAGUUGUCUCUUUAAAAUAUGGACAUGUAACUACAGUUAAACAAAAGUGGCUGGGAUUCAAAUUGAACUAGAAAACAUGGACAUAACAUGGUUUUUAUGGACCAAGGAACGCUUUAGUAGAAAAGAAGGAGCCAGUUGCAUUUUUCGGACAGGGAACAACAAGGUAAUCCAGAUGCAAAGCAGAAGAAAGGACAGAUCCAUGCCAGAAUUCAAGAAUAGUCAUGAAGAUCUGGACUCCGCUAAACUGGAUAUGAAAACUCUCAUAACACUUGUAAAAAAAAUGCAGAAGUUAGACAAAACUGUUUUUAUUCCUAUAUUGUAAAUAUGAACUAGUUCACUUUUUGAUAUUAU